ACGGCCAUACCAUGCUGAAUGUACUGGUUCUCGUUCGAUCACCGCAGUCAAACAUCAUCGGCGCUGUCAGUACUUGGGAGGGUGACCACCUGAGAACACCGCGUGCCGUU
rnacentral:rRNA from 1 species